rnacentral:rRNA from 1 species
GACAGAGGUCCCGAGCGUUAGGCGGAAUCACUGGGCUUAAAGCGUGUGUAGGCGGAUCUGUAAGUACCUUGUGAAAUCCCACGGCUUAACCGUGGAACUGCUCGGUAUACUGCGGAUCUUGAGCCACCUAGGGGCAACCGGAACAAGCGGUGGAGCGGUGAAAUGCGUAGAUAUUGGGAGGAACACCAGUGGCGAAGGCGGCUCACUGGACUGGUACUGACGCUGAGGCGCGAAAGCGUGGGGAGCAAACAGG